GCUACGCUGUUUGGCACCAGCACCUUCAGGGAUUGGAGCUGCUUUUUUCCUUGGAAGAGUUGUUCCCAGUGAAGCUGAACUGCACAGCACAGUGCAGCUUUGGUUCAUAUUCAGUCAUCUCAGGAGAACUUCAGAAGAGCUUGACUAGUCCAAAUGUUGAAGUUAAGUUUUCAAAUAAUGUAACUUUUAAAAUAACUUGGGGAGGGGCAAAUUUUGGCAAUUAGUUGGCAGUGGCUUAUUAUGGUUGGGAUUGGGAGGGUUGGGUUUAGGUAAUUGUUUAGUUUAUGAUUUCAGAUAACUCAUUACCAGAGAACUUAAAUACUUAGGAUGGAAAACUAAAGAACUCUCAACUUCCAAGUUGGCAAGUAACUCCCAAUUUUCUAGUUUCUGUUUUUCCCCAGUUUUUGAAUUUGACAGCUGGGGAAGUUCAUGAAGAUUGACUGGAUUUAAAGUGUAGGGCUUGGGGAAGGAAAAUGGUGGACUGGGGGUUAGAUUAAAAACUUGGGAAUUUUUAAAAUGCUUAAGUUGUUUGCAUAUGGUAGUGUGUGGUUCUCUUUUGGAAUUUCUUUCAGGUGGUUUAAUAAAACUUAAUACUACUAUAGGAGCUUCAGAGCAAAGGAAGUGGCUUAAUGAUCCUGAAGGGAUUUCUUCUGAUGGUAGCUUUUAUAUUAUCAAGUAAGAUUCUAUUUUCAGUUGUAUGUAAGCAAGCGUUUUUUUUAGUGUAGGAAAAACUGUGUGACUGCAAAACAGGAUGUUAAGGUAUGCUUCAAAAUUAUUGUAAACUGUCUCAAAUUUGCAUCGAAGUAUUUGUAAACUGCUAAGAGGGUGGGCUUUUGUUGAUGAGGGAGGGGAAACCCUUUUUUUUUCCUGUAGACUUUUUUCAGACAACAUCUUCUGAGUCAUAACCAACCUGGCAGUAUGAUGGCCUAGAUCGAGAGGGGAACAGCUCCUUGGUGAAUGAUAAGUAAAGGCAGAAAAGAUUAUAUUUCAUACCUACAUGGGGGAAAAAGCAUAACCCUGAGAUCCUUAACUACUGAUGAACGCAUUGUCUGCAUAUGCAAAAAAAAAUUAAGCAAAUGCAAGCUACCAAUUUAAAGUUAAUGGAAUCUACCACUUUAAAGUUUGGCUUAUCAAGCUGUAUCCACAAAAAUAAUGAAUUGAUGAGAAAUAAUGAAAUGAUGAGAAAAUACAAUGAAGAUCAAAUGUCCAUCUCAAUACUGCUUUUACAAAAGCAGAAUACAAAAGCGAAAUGAAAUGAAAAUGAUAAUGCUACACAUUAAUCCUGGAAUAAAAGAAGCUGAAAUAAUUGAAAUGAGUGGGAUCAAGUGGAUUGAGGAGGAGGCUGUGCUGUUUGCCAAUCUUUCGUUUGCCUCAGACAGGUUUCUCAUUAUCAGAAGAGUUGCUUCAUUUCAUCUGGGAGCAGAAAACAGCAGGCAGCUGUUAACAGAUAAGUUUAACUUGUAUCUGCAGUAUUGCAUGAUAGGGAUAAGUGCUUACCUUUGCUAAGAGCGGUGGAGGUCCUAGGUCCCUUACCUAAGGGAUUCCGGGAUUGUGAGGGAUUUUCCUAUCCAGCCUUUUAAAAUUAGACAGGACUUGGUGUGCCUGUGGGCUUCCAUGAUGGGUUAGCACACUUCACUCAGAGGCUAGUAAUUCCUUAAAGCCUCUUGAGAUUAAUAAAGGUAAUGUGUAUAAUACUAAGAACAAUUUGUUUAGCAUUGAAUCUCUGAAAAGUCUAUUUAAGGGUAGCGUAAUGUGCUGUUAACCAGAAUUCAGGUGGUUAAUCUUGCUAAAAUUUAAAUGUUAUGAUGUGUAUUGUGCAGAAAACCGUUAAAUGAUUCAAAAUAAAAUACUUCUAGAGAAUGUAUGCUUUUAGAAAGCUGUCUCCUUAUUUAAAUAAAAUUGUUUGUCUGUAGUUAGUGUUGGGCAAUCUUGGGGGGAUUCUUCUCAUCUUUCAGAGCCUUUGAACUCCUAACGGACAAGAUCAGGAGUUGAGCGGAAGAACGAAUUUAACUUAAGGCAGGAAAAACAAAUUUUAUCCUUCGUAAAAGUGAUGAGCAUUUAAUAAUUCCAGGCACAUGGCAAUAGAGGCCCUCUAAAUAAGGAAUAAAUACCUCUUAGACAGGUGGGAGAUUAUGAUCAGGAAAACAGGUAACUUAACACCUACGCUGUUAUCAGAAAGUCAGGAGUCAAGUGGUUAAACUAGAGUAAUGAGAGAUCAUAUUGUCCACAUUUCCAGUUUGCAUGUUAACUUUAAAUGCUUACAGUGUGUCAUCUAGUGGUAGCUGAUGUUUACACUAUUGAUUAGCCUUUUAUAUAGGCACUUGGUGUGGGGGAGGGCAUGUGGGUUUUUUAAAGAAUUUUCCUUUGCAGAGGCUUCAUUUCAUCCUUCAUGAAGCUGUUCAGGAUUUUGACUUGCAUAUAAACACUUGGCUCUGCCUUCUGUUCUACUAGUGAGUGUGAGACCUUGCAGUGAGUUUAUCAGCAUACUCAAGUAAUUUUUUCCCCCGAUUUUGGAGGGAAGGGAGGAGAGGGUGGGGCUUACUUGUUUUAGUUUUUUUUUUGCAGACUACACAGAAUGCAGUUGUCUUGAUCUCAGGUCUGUCUGUUCUGUUGGCAAGUAAUGCAGUACUGUUCUGAUCCGCUGCUAUUAGAAUGCAUUAUGAAACAACUGGAGUAUUAUUAAAAGUUGUGUUUCCCCCAAUGCUUGGAGUAGUGAUUGUUGAAGGAAAAUCCAGCUGAGUAAUAAAAGGCUGAGUGUUGAGGAAAUUUCUGCAGCUUUAAGCAUUCGUGUUUGUGAUUGAAACAAAGUCCCUUUUGCUGUGCUUUAGGUAAAAUGCUUUUUUGUUCAUUUCUGGUAAGGGGGUGGGAGGGCACUGAAGCCUUUAGUCUUUUCCAGAUGCAACUUUAAAAUCAGUGACAAGAAAUAAAUUUCAAACGAACAACAGUCUUCACGAAAUUUAACUGGCAAGUGGAAAUGUUUAACAACAGUUCAGUGGUCUUAGUGCAUUGUCUUUGUACUCUCUCCCCUCCCUUGGUCUUAAUUCUUAUAUACAGGAACAUUCAAAACAACAGACGUAUGCGAAGGGCCAGAGAAGCCAGACCCAGUAAGGAAAAAUAGCUUAUUUACUUUUAAUAAACAAACCAAACAUUGCAUUUUAAAUGUGGGGAUUGGGAACCACUAGUUCUUUCAGAUGGUAUUCUUCAGACUAUAGAAGGAGCUUCCAGUUGAAUUCACCAGUGGACAAAAUGAGGACAACAGGUGAACAAGCUUUUUCUAUAUUUACAUACCAAGUCAGAUCUGUUACGGGUAAUUUAGUACUAAAUGACCUUUCAGCUUUACGCUGGUGUCAACAGCAUGAGCAAGUUGUUUGUUGGCCUGGGGGUGGAGGGGUGAGGUGGGCGCUAAGCCUUUUUUUAAGAUUUUUCAGGUAACCCUCACUAAAGGCACCAAAGGCUUAAAGUAGGACAACCACGGAGCCUUCCUGUGGCAAGAGAGACAGCAAAGCGCUAUUAUACCAAGGUCAAUCCGAAUGGUGUCAGCCUCUCAAGCCCAUCUUCUGUUAGGAAGUGAGGACUUGCCUCAACAACUCCCUUUGCAGACAAUGCAUUGAGGCCGCCUCUUGGGGAGUGAAGCAUCCAGACGAAUGCUUGAGUACCUUGUAUACCCCUGGGCUUGUCCUAACAUAUAAUUCAGCUGUUUUUAUAGCAGCUCUUAAUAAAGCCCAACCCUCAAAAAGUGAUGCUUGAAGGGGAGGGAAAGGGGGAAAGCGGGCAACCACUUUUCCCUAGCUUUUCCAGAAGCCUGUUAAAAAGCAAGGUCUCCCCACAAGUGACUUCUCUGCCACAUCGCCACCCCCUGCCUUUGGCCUAGCGCAGACCCUUCACCCCUCACCUCGCUGCUGCCGGUAGCUUGGAUCCUUGUGGGCAUGACCCAUAAUCGGUCUUAAGGUAAUUGGCGCCAAGGUCUUUCGGUGGGUUGCACUACUAGAAAUGACCGUUAAUUUGCCUGCAAAUAGUUAAUGAUAUUAAGACCACAACUAAAAAGCUCCAAGAUGUUUCAGAUGUGUGGCAUUAUUAUCCAGUGAUUAAAAGAAACUUAAACCAGUAAAUGGAGAAAUAACAUUUAAGAACUGUCAUAUUGGGUGGGAAGGUAUAAACUGAAGUAGACAGACAGGCACUUUAGCAGUUGAGGGGCUGUUGGGGGGGGUGGAUUGCAAAAAUUCUCUGCUAAGACUUUUUCAGGUGAACAUAACAGACUUGGCCAAGCUAGCAUCUUAGCUGAAGCAGAUUCUCCAGUGCUCUUCAGUAGGGUUAUUUAUAAAGGUUUUGCUUUUUGGCCUUUCCUAGCUUAAAAAAAAAAGCAAAAGAUGCUGGUGGUUGGCACUCCUGGUUUCCAGGACGGGGUUCAAAUCCCUGUGGCAUCUUUGCUUGACUUUAACUUCUGCUUUCAGGACUCUACGUUUUUCUUUUCUUUCAGACGCUAGGCUCCAGAGUUAGGGGAGGUGGAAGAUAAAAGUAGCUUCAAACUGUAUCUUUUCAUUUGUCAGAAGUCUGAACUGGUUUGUAUUUACAUAGGAACCUCAUAUAAUAACUGCCUUGUCUUUAAUUUUCAGGUAUUCCUCAUGUAUCUAGUGUUUGGAGAAGUCUCACUAUUUUGAAAAUUUUAAUUACAUAUUAAUAAAAAUUAAAAAGCUUUU